UACGUAGGGUGCGAGCGUUGUCCGGAAUUAUUGGGCGUAAAGAGCUCGUAGGCGGUGUGUCGCGUCGGCCGUGAAAACCUGCAGCUUAACUGUGGGCUUGCGGUCGAUACGGGCAGACUAGAGUGCGGUAGGGGAGACUGGAAUUCCUGGUGUAGCGGUGAAAUGCGCAGAUAUCAGGAGGAACACCGGUGGCGAAGGCGGGUCUCUGGGCCGCAACUGACGCUGGGGAGCGAAAGCAUGGGGAGCGAACAGG
rnacentral:rRNA from 1 species